rnacentral:rRNA from 1 species
AUUGAACGCUGGCGGCAGGCCUAACACAUGCAAGUCGAACGAGUGGCGGACGGGUGAGUAAUGUCUGGGAAACUGCCCGAUGGAGGGGGAUAACUACUGGAAACGGUAGCUAAUACCGCAUACCAUCGGAUGUGCCCAGAUGGGAUUAGCUAGUAGGUGGGGUAACGGCUCACCUAGGCGACGAUCCCUAGCUGGUCUGAGAGGAUGACCAGGCAAAAUGGAACUGAGGCACGGUCCAGGCUCCUACGGGAGGGAGCAGGGGGGAAUAUUGCACAAUGGGGGCAAGCCUGAUGCAGCCAUGCCGGGGGUAUGAAGAAGGCCGUCGGGUUGUAAAGGACUUUCAGCGAGGAGGAGUUACCCGAAGAAGAAGCACCGGCUAACUCCGUUCCAGCCGCCGCGGUAAUUC